AUGAUGGAAGAAACCGCAGACUCCAAAGACAAGACCGCCAACUCCUUGAAGGAUCUUGCCGAUGACAAUGAUAGUCAGCUAAAAAUUGACUCUCUUUCAAAACUAGUCGCCCAACUCGAAAAUGAAAACAAAAAGUCAGCUGAAGAAUUUGGAGCCCAGCGUGCUCAAAUGAAAGUUAUAUAUCUCCAGAAAGAAGAGGAGCUGAAGAAACAGGCAGCUGAGCAAGAACAGCUGAAGGAAGAAAUCAAAAGACUUCAAACAGAACUUGACGAGACAAGGAGUCAAUUAACAGCUGUCAGUUUAGAGACUGAAAGCCUCGAGUCUCAAAAGCGCACAUAUCAGGAUGAAAUCUCAUCGCUUCAGCAAAUAGUAAAUGGUAUGUCUUUUCAUGUAUACUCAAGAAUAAAGGCUAAAACUCUACUUGGAAUUUUGUUGUUUAUAGCUCAUGGUGGUUGGUUGUCCAAUCAUACAUGUUCAGUUUUUUGCAGAGAUAUGAGCCUAUAA
rnacentral:lncRNA from 1 species